rnacentral:tRNA from 1 species
GGGCUUAUGGUCUAGCGGUAUGACGUCGCCUCGACAAUGCAUUCGAAGUGGCGGAAGUCCCCGGUUCAAAUCCGGGUAGGCCCA